UCCCUGGUAGCUCAGUGGUAGAGAAGCUGCCUGCCAAUGCAGGAGACACAGGUUCGAUCUCUGAUCCAGGAAG
rnacentral:tRNA from 1 species